rnacentral:tRNA from 1 species
GGGGAUAUAGCUCAGCUGGUAGAGCGCUUGCAUGGCAUGCAAGAGGUCAGCGGUUCGAUCCCGCUUAUCUCCA